AAGUUGGCUUUUUUGAAGAAUAAAUAAGAUUGAUUGACUGCCAGCUAGACUAAUAAAGAAAAAGAAUAUGCAAAUAACACAAUCAGAAAUGACAAAGGUGGUAUUACCAUGACCUGUCAGAAAUACCAAAAAUCCUCAGAGAUAUUUGUGAACACUUCUAUGCAUACAAACUACAAAACCUAGAAAAAAAUGAACAAAUUCUUGGAAACACACAACCUUGAAAGAUAGAACCAGGAAGAAACCAAGAAAAGGUGAUGCUUAUACACUGCUGGUGGGAAUGUAAGUUAGUUCAGCCACUGUGGAAAGCAGUUUGGAGAUUUCUCAAAGAGCUAAAAACAGAAAUACUAUUUCACCCAGCAAUCCCAUUACUGGGUAUAUACCCAAAGGAAUAUAAAUCGUUCCACUAUAAAGACACAUGCAUGCAUACGUUCAUCGCAGCAGUAUUUACAAAUACUGUAUGUUUUCACUUGUAAGUGGGAGCUAUACAUUGAGUACACAUGGACACAAAGAGGGGAAUAAUAGACACCAGGGCCUACU
rnacentral:lncRNA from 1 species